AUUGAACGCUGGCGGCAGGCUUAACACAUGCAAGUCGAGCGGAGAGAGGUAGCUUGCUACCGAUCUUAGCGGCGGACGGGUGAAUAAUGCUUAGGAAUCUGCCUAUUAGUGGGGGACAACAUUUCGAAAGGAAUGCUAAUACCGCAUACGUCCUACGGGAGAAAGCGGGGGAUCUUCGGACCUUGCGCUAAUAGAUGAGCCUAAGUCGGAUUAGCUAGUUGGGGGGGUAAAGGCCUACCAAGGCGACGAUCUGUAGCGGGUCUGAGAGGAUGAUCCGGCCAAAUUGGGCCUGGGCCAGGGCCCGAAUUCUACCGGGGGGAGGAGGGGGGAAAUUUGGGACAAGGGGGGGAGGCUUGUCCAGGCAAUGCGGGUGGGUGAAAAAGGCCCUUUUGUUGGAAAGCCCCUUAAGCGAGGAGGAGGCUACCUGGAUUAAUACUCUAGGAUAGUGGACGUUACUCGCAGAAUAAGCACCGGCUAACUCUGUGCCAGCCGCCGCCGUAAAAC
rnacentral:rRNA from 1 species